UACGUAGGGUGCGAGCGUUAAUCGGAAUUACUGGGCGUAAAGCGUGCGCAGGCGGUUCGUUGUGUCGGCGGUGAAAGCCCCGGGCUUAACCUGGGAAUGGCCGUUGAAACUGGCGAACUGGAGUGUGGCAGAGGGGGGUGGAAUUCCGCGUGUAGCAGUGAAAUGCGUAGAGAUGCGGAGGAACACCGAUGGCGAAGGCAGCCCCCUGGGCUAACACUGACGCUCAGGCACGAAAGCGUGGGGAGCAAACAG
rnacentral:rRNA from 1 species